rnacentral:rRNA from 1 species
GGGGUACCGUCAGACCUGAAGGUAUUGUUCUUCAGAUUGUUCGUCCCCCUCCACAGUGCUUUACGACCCGAGGGCCUUCAUCACACACGCGGCGUGGCUGGAUCAGGCUUUCGCCCAUUGUCCAAUAUUCCCC